UACAUGGGGUGCAAACGUUGCUCGGAAUUAUUGGGCGUAAAGCGCACGUAGGUGGUCUGUUAUGUCAGAUGUGAAAGCCCUCGGCUUAACUGAGGAAGUGCACCUGAAACUGGCAGGCUUGAGUACGAAAGAGGGUCGCGGAAUUCCCGGUGUAGAGGUGAAAUUCGUAGAUAUUCGGAAGAACACCAGUGGCGAAGGCGACUUACUGGACACAUAUUGACGCUGAGGUGCGAAAGCGUGGGGAGCAAACAGG
rnacentral:rRNA from 1 species